UACGGGGGGAGCAAGCGUUGUUCGGAUUUACUGGGCGUAAAGGGCGCGUAGGCGGUCAGCACAAGUCAGUUGUGAAAUCUCCGGGCUUAACUCGGAAAGGUCAACUGAUACUGUGCGACUAGAGUGCAGAAGGGGCAACUGGAAUUCUCGGUGUAGCGGUGAAAUGCGUAGAUAUCGGGAGGAACACCGGUGGCGAAGGCGGGUCUCUGGGCAAUUCCUGACGCUGAGGCGCGAAAGCGUGGGGAGCAAACGGG
rnacentral:rRNA from 1 species